AGCGUACACGGUGGAUGCCCUGGCAGUCAGAGGCGAUGAAGGACGUGCUAAUCUGCGAAAAGCGUCGGUAAGGUGAUAUGAACCGUUAUAACCGGCGAUGUCCGAAUGGGGAAACCCAGUGCAAUUCGUUGCACUAUCGUUAACUGAAUACAUAGGUUAACGAGGCGAACCGGGGGAACUGAAACAUCUAAGUACCCCGAGGAAAAGAAAUCAACCGAGAUUCCCCCAGUAGCGGCGAGCGAACGGGGAGCAGCCCAGAGUCUGAAUCAGCUUGUGUGUUAGUGGAACGGUCUGGAAAGUCCGACGGUACAGGGUGAUAGUCCCGUACACCAAAAUGCACAGGUUGUGAACUCGAAGAGUAGGGCGGGACACGUGGUAUCCUGUCUGAAUAUGGGGGGACCAUCCUCCAAGGCUAAAUACUCCUGACUGACCGAUAGUGAACCAGUACCGUGAGGGAAAGGCGAAAAGAACCCCGGCGAGGGGAGUGAAAAAGAACCUGAAACCGUGUACGUACAAGCAGUGGGAGCACCUUCGGGUGUGACUGCGUACCUUUUGUAUAAUGGGUCAGCGACUUAUAUUCUGUAGCAAGGUUAACCGUAUAGGGGAGCCGCAGGGAAACCGAGUCUUAACUGGGCGUUAAGUUGCAGGGUAUAGACCCGAAACCCGGUGAUCUAGCCAUGGGCAGGUUGAAGGUUGGGUAACACUAACUGGAGGACCGAACCGACUAAUGUUGAAAAAUUAGCGGAUGACUUGUGGCUGGGGGUGAAAGGCCAAUCAAACCGGGAGAUAGCUGGUUCUCCCCGAAAGCUAUUUAGGUAGCGCCUCGUGAAUUCAUCUUCGGGGGUAGAGCACUGUUUCGGCUAGGGGGUCAUCCCGACUUACCAACCCGAUGCAAACUACGAAUACCGAAGAAUGUUAUCACGGGAGACACACGGCGGGUGCUAACGUCCGUCGUGAAGAGGGAAACAACCCAGACCGCCAGCUAAGGUCCCAAAGUCAUGGUUAAGUGGGAAACGAUGUGGGAAGGCACAGACAGCCAGGAUGUUGGCUUAGAAGCAGCCAUCAUUUAAAGAAAGCGUAAUAGCUCACUGGUCGAGUCGGCCUGCGCGGAAGAUGUAACGGGGCUAAACCAUGCACCGAAGCUGCGGCAGCGACACUAUGUGUUGUUGGGUAGGGGAGCGUUCUGUAAGCCUGCGAAGGUGACCUGUGAGGGUUGCUGGAGGUAUCAGAAGUGCGAAUGCUGACAUAAGUAACGAUAAAGCGGGUGAAAAGCCCGCUCGCCGGAAGACCAAGGGUUCCUGUCCAACGUUAAUCGGGGCAGGGUGAGUCGACCCCUAAGGCGAGGCCGAAAGGCGUAGUCGAUGGGAAACAGGUUAAUAUUCCUGUACUUGGUGUUACUGCGAAGGGGGGACGGAGAAGGCUAUGUUAGCCGGGCGACGGUUGUCCCGGUUUAAGCAUGUAGGCUGAUUGUCCAGGCAAAUCCGGAUAAUCAAGGCUGAGGUGUGAUGACGAGGCACUACGGUGCUGAAGUAACAAAUGCCCUGCUUCCAGGAAAAGCCUCUAAGCAUCAGGUAACAUUAAAUCGUACCCCAAACCGACACAGGUGGUCAGGUAGAGAAUACCAAGGCGCUUGAGAGAACUCGGGUGAAGGAACUAGGCAAAAUGGUGCCGUAACUUCGGGAGAAGGCACGCUGGUGUGUAGGUGAAGUCCCUGCGGAUGGAGCUGAGACCAGUCGAAGAUACCAGCUGGCUGCAACUGUUUAUUAAAAACACAGCACUGUGCAAACACGAAAGUGGACGUAUACGGUGUGACGCCUGCCCGGUGCCGGAAGGUUAAUUGAUGGGGUUAUCCGUAAGGAGAAGCUCUUGAUCGAAGCCCCGGUAAACGGCGGCCGUAACUAUAACGGUCCUAAGGUAGCGAAAUUCCUUGUCGGGUAAGUUCCGACCUGCACGAAUGGCGUAAUGAUGGCCAGGCUGUCUCCACCCGAGACUCAGUGAAAUUGAACUCGCUGUGAAGAUGCAGUGUACCCGCGGCAAGACGGAAAGACCCCGUGAACCUUUACUAUAGCUUGACACUGAACAUUGAGCCUUGAUGUGUAGGAUAGGUGGGAGGCUUUGAAGCGUGGACGCCAGUCUGCGUGGAGCCAACCUUGAAAUACCACCCUUUAAUGUUUGAUGUUCUAACGUUGGCCCCUUACCGGGGUUGCGGACAGUGUCUGGUGGGUAGUUUGACUGGGGCGGUCUCCUCCCAAAGCGUAACGGAGGAGCACGAAGGUUAGCUAAUCCUGGUCGGACAUCAGGAGGUUAGUGCAAUGGCAUAAGCUAGCUUGACUGCGAGCGUGACGGCGCGAGCAGGUGCGAAAGCAGGUCAUAGUGAUCCGGUGGUUCUGAAUGGAAGGGCCAUCGCUCAACGGAUAAAAGGUACUCCGGGGAUAACAGGCUGAUACCGCCCAAGAGUUCAUAUCGACGGCGGUGUUUGGCACCUCGAUGUCGGCUCAUCACAUCCUGGGGCUGAAGUAGGUCCCAAGGGUAUGGCUGUUCGCCAUUUAAAGUGGUACGCGAGCUGGGUUUAGAACGUCGUGAGACAGUUCGGUCCCUAUCUGCCGUGGGCGCUGGAGAAUUGAGGGGGGCUGCUCCUAGUACGAGAGGACCGGAGUGGACGCAUCACUGGUGUUCGGGUUGUCAUGCCAAUGGCACUGCCCGGUAGCUAAAUGCGGAAGAGAUAAGUGCUGAAAGCAUCUAAGCACGAAACUUGCCCCGAGAUGAGUUCU
rnacentral:rRNA from 1 species